AUUGAACGCUGGCGGCAUGCUUUACACAUGCAAGUCGAACGCGAAAGGGGGGCAACUCCUGAGUAGAGUGGCGCACGGGUGAGUAAUACAUCGGAACGUGUCCUGUAAUGGGGGGAUAACGCAGCGAAAGCUGUGCUAAUACCGCAUACGUCCUACGGGAGAAAGUGGGGGACCGCAAGGCCUCACGCUAUAGGAGCGGCCGAUGCCGGAUUAGCUAGUUGGUGGGGUAAAGGCUCACCAAGGCAACGAUCCGUAGCUGGUCUGAGAGGAUGAUCAGCCACACUGGGACUGAGACACGGCCCAGACUCCUACGGGAGGCAGCAGUGGGGAAUUUUGGGACAAUGGGCGCAAGCCUGAUCCAGCAACGCCGCGUGAGGGAUGAAGGCCUUCGGUUGUAAACUCUUUCUUGGAGAAGAGACAAGGACGGUAGUCCCACGGAAUAAGUACUCGGCUAACUACGUGCCAGCAGCCGCGGUAA
rnacentral:rRNA from 1 species